rnacentral:rRNA from 1 species
AUUGAACGCUGGCGGCAUGCUUUACACAUGCCAGUCGGACGAGUGGCGAACGGGUGAGUAACGCAUCGGAACGUACCGAGUAAAGGGGGAUAACUGGCCGAAAGGACAGCUAAUACCGCAUAACAUUCGAGAGGCCGAUGUGUGAUUAGCUGGUGGGAGGGGUAAAGGCCCACCAAGGCGACGAUCAGUAGCGGGUCUGAGAGGAUGAUCCGCCACACUGGGACUGAGACACGGCCCAGACUCCUACGGGAGGCAGCAGUGGGGAAUGUUGGACAAUGGGCGCAAGCCUGAUCCAGCCAUGCCGCGUGUCUGAAGAAGGCCUUCGGGUUGUAAAGGACUUGAAGUUGGGAGGCGUUACCAACAGAAUAAGCACCGGCUAACUUCGUGCCAGCAGCCGCGGUAAUUC